UACGUAGGGGGCAAGCGUUGUCCGGAUUUAUUGGGCGUAAAGAGCGUGUAGGCGGCCAGGGAGGUCCGUUGUGAAAACUCGAGGCUCAACCUCGAGACGCCGAUGGAAACCCCCUGGCUAGAGUCCGGAAGAGGAGAAUGGAAUUCCUGGUGUAGCGGUGAAAUGCGCAGAUAUCAGGAAGAACACCCGUGGCUAAGGCGGUUCUCUAGUACGGUACUGACGCUGUGACGCGAAAGCGUGGGGAGCGAACAGG
rnacentral:rRNA from 1 species